rnacentral:rRNA from 1 species
GUGGGGAAUAUUGGACAAUGGGCGCAAGCCUGAUCCAGCCAUGCCGCGUGCAGGAAGACGCAUCUAUGGUGUGUAAACUGCUUUUGUACGGGAAGAAACACUCCCUCGUGAGGGAGCUUGACGGUACCGUAAGAAUAAGGAUCGGCUAACUCCGUGCCAGCAGCCGCGGUAAUACGGAGGAUCCAAGCGUUAUCAGGAAUCAUUGGGUUUAAAGGGUCCGUAGGCGGUUUAAUAAGUCAGUGGUGAAAGCCCAUCGCUCAACGAUGGAACGGCCAUUGAUACUGUUAGACUUGAAUUACAAGGAAGUAACUAGAAUAUGUAGUGUAGCGGUGAAAUGCUUAGAUAUUACAUGGAAUACCAAUUGCGAAGGCAGGUUACUACUUGUGGAUUGACGCUGAUGGACGAAAGCGUGGGGAGCGAACAGGAUUAGAUACCCUUGUAGUCC